rnacentral:sRNA from 1 species
AUGCCUCUUCUGGUGCUCGUGAGGCCCUGGCUAGGCAGCUGCCCUCUGCCCCCAAAAUGACCUCUCCUGAAAGGACUCCUGGAUUCCUGAGUAUGAAGAAACCGAGAUGCCCACGAUGUACCUCACCGAUGACUGUGACUGGCUGCUGGCCCACUCUGGACCUCAGCUGACUCAGCUGCAAAGCAAGGGAUUGGAGUCCAGGAUGGCUGCCUGCCGAAGAAUGCCUCCCGGUAGACUGGGGAAGGAUGGAUAUGAGAAGCCACCCAGCUAAAGGAGACAGCCUA